rnacentral:misc_RNA from 1 species
CCGAGAACGCUGAGAAAAGUGUGAACGACCCCCAGGGUCCCCCGGCGCCGGGGGGCCCGAGUGGAACCGGUACCUGACGCGGCCCGACGUGCCUCGGGCCGGGGCGGGGAGCAAAACUCCCGCAGAUCGACGGUCUCAAGGGGGGGUACCUGUGCCGCUCGCAGCCUGAAGCGGCGACAGCCCCCGACUGACUCAGAGGGCGAGGUUUAAAGAGCGGGCCCCUGCCCUGUUGCCUCCGCCCCCCCUCCGUCGACCGCGGGUCUCGCCUUGGCCCCGGGUCGCGCUUUCUUUUUAUUUCGCCUCCCUGCUCGGGAACGGUCAGUGGAAAGAAAAGUCUCGACAAACAAAAAACUCAGAAAACAACUCUGAGCGGUGGAUCACUCGGCUCGUGCGUCGAUGAAGAGCGCAGCCAGCGCGAGAAGUGAUGUGUAAUUGCAGGACACAUUGAACAUCGACGUCUUGAACGCACUUUGCGGUCUCGGGUAACUCCCGGGACCACGCCUGUCUCAGGGUCGAUUGCAGUCUGACCUCGCUCUCCGCCUGGAAGGGGCCCGUUCCCCUCCCAGAGAGCGCCUUGGGCCCGGUCGCAGCUCCUCCCCGCCUCCGGGAGAGCUCCGUCCCCUCAAGUGCAGACCGUUGAGUGACCGAGAGCUGGACUCCCCACCCCGCCUGUCGAACCGCCUUGGUUUUGGGGAGGUCGCACGCACACGUCCUCGUUCCGUCGCGCGGAGCCUCUGCCACGGCCUACUGGUGGCGAGCUACGCGGGUCGGCUGCUGCGUGCGAGGCCCUCGUCCGUCCAGUCCCCCCCGGACAGAACGUCCGUUCUUUCCUCGACCUGAGAUCAGACGAGAUUACC